UUUUGGAAUGUAUGAGUUUAUAUUUGGCAGAUUCUUUAUUUAAAUCAACUUACAGAGCACUACAUUUUAUCAAUAUGCUCCCUGAGAAUUGGCUUUAUAUAUCCUAUUUUCUACCAGAAAAGGACACAGGAAAGCACCUUUUUAGGGUGAACUGAUUUGACAUAAUCUGUAUAGUACUGUAUUUCCAUCUAGUUCAAGACUUGAAGGUACUAUACAGCAUUACUAAAUAAAAUAUAUAUGUUAACUGCAGUGUAUAAUAGGCAUAACAUUCAGAUUUUGUCAACACAAAGUAAAAAAAAAAAAAAAACGGUUAUGUUCCAGUUUGGGUUGGCUAAAACUGUUUCUCAACAUUUCACCAAAGGAAGUGUUUCAAAGCUACUUUGCAAGUCUGGAGACCACAGAACUGUGAAAACAUACUGGUUGACUCAGAGCAGCUCUUUUUAGUCCUAUUCACACAUUCAUAAUGAAGCUAAUUCUGGGGGUCCUCCUCAUAUUUGAAAGCCUGAGGCAAAUUAAUAAUAGGUAGUUCAAAAUUUUAUGGACUGUUUAAGAAAUAAAGAUUAAAGAUGGAGACUACUGAGAGAGCUGCCAGAAAAUCUUUCAUUGUGAUGAUUAACAUGAUUGCGUGGAUGAUUUUAAUAACAGCUACUGGAUUAGGAACGACCCAUUUUCACGAGUGCCCUGUUCAACCAAACCUCCCCAUCUAUAUAACUGUGAUUGGGGCGACUGGUCUGUUUUCACUGUUGCUCAUGUACCUGAGGAACACUUUGGAUGACUGUCUGCUGGCUCGCUUCUGCAGUGUCUUCAGCUUGAUGCUCUGUGUAUUCAUUGUGUGCUGGUUCUUUGCUGGUACCUACUGGAUUUACUCCAUAUAUCCUCCCAGUUAUGACUCCACCAGUACUGGAAUUCACUGUCAUAGAACCCUGUACCUGUUUGCAUUUUGGUUCAACAAUAUAUGCUUUUUGUGUAUGUCCAUAGUGUUUAUUUUUUGUUUGUAUACCAUUUUGAGCAACUGUACUAUUGUCUUCUUCACUGAUAGAACUGUGUGUUAAAAUUUAGCUGCAGGCCUGUGGUAAUUCUCUGAAAAUGUGCUGUAUAAUUAAUAUAUCAUUGUUAGGCUACAAGACAUUUUCUCACAGUAGUUGUUUCAUUAAUAAAGAUUAACCUUUUAUGGUACGCAUUAUGUUCUAACCAUGAAAUAUUUUUUCAAAUAAGUUUUUAUUACAUGAAAUAGCUUCAAUUAUGCAAAUCAAAAAAGAUUUUUGAAAAAAAAAAAGAUUUUUGGGGGUUAUUUAGGAAAAGGUUGCCAUAUGGCAACUCUGUACCAUAAUGGAAAAUGGUCAAAAAAGUAAUUUUUCUAUAAAAUUAUGAUUUUCUUUUCUAUUUAAAUGCACAUUUCUUUUAGAAAUUGAUAGAUUUAUAUACUUGGACUCAUGCAAACCACAAAAAUAAGUAGAUCCCUAUCAUUUAAUCCCUAUCAUUCCCUGUCAUUUGGCUAACUCAUUCUCACUCUUAUGACAUGGAAGAGCUAACUCUGUACUCUUCCUAUUGCCCUUUCUGUAAAAUAUUGCUAUAUUCAUUUUUGGAAAAGAAGAAAUAAUUUUGUUAUUUAUACAUAAAUACAACUAUACUACAAAAAACACUUCAAAAUAAAUUAAUAACAGCAAUCAUAUUGUUGAUUCUACUAUCUAUAAAAAAUCCCAAUGGGGAAAUACAUUACUGCAAUUCCACUAUAUAUACUGUAUAUAUACUGUAAUUCCACUAUAACUAUCCUGUUAAAUAAAACCAUUGUCUUGUUUUGUUUAAGCACCUUUUGGUAUUUGAAGUUUUUUAUAUCCUCUUUACAGUACAGACUACAUCUUACAAUGUGGACAGUUGUAACUAUCAAAAUACAUCAAUUAAAAACAAUAAAAAUGCUUAAUUAUUCAAAGCAAAAAAAGUGGAAAAUAAAAACAAUUUUUCCCUCCAAUUUGAUUGAAGGUUACACUUUAUUUCGAUGGUACACGUUAGACAUUCUACUAACUAUAAUUAAUUUUGCAACUGUCAAGUAACUCUCAUCAGAGUAUUAGUUUAAUGUAGUAGACUGUUAGAUUGGAGUUAUAGGGUUAGGGUUAGUAGAAUAGGUUAACAUGUAGCUGCAAAGUUAGUACCAGUCAGUAGAAUGUCUGUUUGGGGAGCAUCAAAAUAAAGUGUUAGCAAAUAUUAAACAGACAGUCUAAUAAUACUCUAAUGAGAGGUAGUUGACAUGUAGUUGCAAAGUUACUUAUAGUUAGAACUCUAAAGUGGACCAUCGAAAUAAGGUGUUACCUGAUUGAAUAAUUCAUGAGAGGGUUCUUAGCAAGGAGGUCUAUAAUAGGUUGUUAGGGUUAUUUGUCCCGCCCACAAGACUUGCGCGAUGCCAGUUGUCCUGUCACAGCACCCGUCCCAGAAAUGUAAUUAUUCUUGCAGCCAACAACAACAACAACAAUUGUCCUCCAAACUGCUUUAAAUUAAAAAAAAACACGCUGUCAAAAGCACUAUACCUAGUCCAGCGUAACGAGACGGUUAGUUGUUAUGGCUGGUAGGUAAACAUUUAAUCCAAUACAUGUAAAAUAGACACUCAACGCGGCUUUGCAUUUAAUGCACGUAAUCUAAUUGAUAUGUUUGGCAUGUGUAAGUAACCUGAGCUUGACCCAAAGCAGCCUGACUGUUAAGAGUGUGAAUAGCAAAGCAGACCUGCUGGGUUGUGUAUACCUAUUGCAAUAUGCAUCCCUCAUUCUUUAUGCGUAACCAUUUCUGUAAAUAAAAUAGCGUAUCAGUGCUGUGUUUUGAUGCGCUUUUGUGUUGUCUCGUUGUUUUGGUCUUUCUUGUGUUGUUUUGUAAUGGGUUAACCGUUGUUGUGAAGUUGCGGAACUAGUGGCAAAAUGCUUGCAGGCACGGGAAAUGGCUUACUGUCCGUACAGUGGGUUUCCAGUCGGCGCUGCCAUUUUGACGACAGGGGGCGCCAUUAUCACUGGCUGUAAUGUUGAGAAUGCCUCCUAUGGCCUUACCGUAUGUGCGGAGAGAAAUGCCAUACAGAGAGCGGUCGCAGAAGGCUACCGAAGAUUUACAGCCAUAGCUGUCACAUGGUAUGUCAUAUAUAUUCCAGAUACUGAAAUGUUGUUGUUUGAAUCACUGAAAAAAACCUUCUUUUCGUCUGACCAACAGUGAUAUCAAAGAUAGUUUUGUAGGACCCUGUGGUGCUUGUCGACAGGUAUUAAUGGAGUUUGGCACUGAAUGGGACAUUUACCUCACUAAGCCAGACGGAAGUUAUAAGAAGACCAGUCUCAGAGAGCUCUUGCCUUUGGCAUUUA